rnacentral:rRNA from 1 species
GUAAUAGCUCACUGGUCGAGUCGGCCUGCGCGGAAGAUGUAACGGGGCUAAACCAUGCACCGAAGCUGCGGCAGCGACGCUGAUGCGUUGUUGGGUAGGGGAGCGUUCUGUAAGCCUGUGAAGGUGUACUGUGAGGUAUGCUGGAGGUAUCAGAAGUGCGAAUGCUGACAUAAGUAACGAUAAAGCGGGUGAAAAGCCCGCUCGCCGGAAGACCAAGGGUUCCUGUCCAACGUUAAUCGGGGCAGGGUGAGUCGA